GGUCCCCUCUCCAUUCUCACUUUUUCAACUGAGAGUACCUCUCCUUUCACCGUUGGCACAAGUCUCAGCGCCCGGUCGAGAUGGUUGCCGAAAAUCUUAUCAUCCAAGUGCCUCUUCGGUUGCAGGACCUCGCUCUUUUCACCACCCCUCCUCCCCUUUGGGAGCAUGACUCUCUGAUCAUUCACAGCAACAGCUAUAUCUUUCAACAGAAAGACAUUCCUGAUUACAUCCGAGUAGCGGAUUUCCUUGAUAGGUUCUCCCAUUCGCCUGCCUCGAUCCAAGUAGGAGUUGACGUCUCUA
rnacentral:lncRNA from 1 species